rnacentral:rRNA from 1 species
GAUGAACGCUAGCGACAGGCCUAACACAUGCAAGUCGAGGGGCAGCACGUAAAGUAGCAAUACUUUUGGUGGCGACCGGCGCACGGGUGAGUAACACGUAUGCAACCUGCCUGUAAGCGGGGAAUAACCCGGAGAAAUCCGGACUAAUACCGCAUAAUACCAUUUUUUCUGCAUGGAAGAUUGGUUAAAACAUUUAUGGCUUACAGAUGGACAUGCGUAUGAUUAGCUAGUUGGUGAGGUAACGGCUCACCAAGGCAACGAUCAUUAGGGGUUCUGAGAGGAAGGUCCCCCA